UGGGGAAUAUUGCACAAUGGGCGAAAGCCUGAUGCAGCAACGCCGCGUGAGGGACGACGGCCUUCGGGUUGUAAACCUCUUUUAGCAAGGAAGAAGCGAAAGUGACGGUACUUGCAGAAAAAGCGCCGGCUAACUACGUGCCAGCAGCCGCGGUAAUACGUAGGGCGCAAGCGUUAUCCGGAAUUAUUGGGCGUAAAGAGCUCGUAGGCGGUUUGUCGCGUCUGCUGUGAAAACCCGAGGCUCAACCUCGGGCCUGCAGUGGGUACGGGCAGACUAGAGUACGGUAGGGGAGAUUGGAACUCCUGGUGUAGCGGUGGAAUGCGCAGAUAUCAGGAAGAACACCGAUGGCGAAGGCAGAUCUCUGGGCCGUAACUGACGCUGAGGAGCGAAAGGGUGGGGAGCAAAACAGGCUUAGAUACCCUGGUAGUCCACCCCGUAAACGUUGGGAACUAGUUGUGGGGUCCAUUCCACGGAUUCCGUGACGCAGCUAACGCAUUAAGUUCCCCGCCUGGGGGAGUACGGCCGCAAGGCUAAAACUCAAAGGAAUUGACGGGGUCAUAGCUGUUUCCU
rnacentral:rRNA from 1 species